rnacentral:rRNA from 1 species
UACCUGCGCCACGAGUGGUAACCGCGCUUAUUGGGCUUAAAGCGUUCGUAGCCGGCUUGGAAAGUUUCUAAUGAAAUCCUGCAGCUGACUGUAGGGCUUGUUAGAAAUACUUCCAGGCUUGGGACCGGGAGAGGUCGAGGGUAUUAUUGGGGUAGGGGUAAAAUAGUUUGAAGGCUUAUUCUGCGUGAACAAAGCCUUCUUUCACUUUACAGUCCUAUAAUCCCAAUAAGACCACCUGUGGCGAA